UACGAAGGGGGCUAGCGUUGCUCGGAAUCACUGGGCGUAAAGCGCACGUAGGCGGCUUUUUAAGUCAGGGGUGAAAUCCUGGAGCUCAACUCCAGAACUGCCUUUGAUACUGGGAAGCUUGAGUCCGGAAGAGGUGAGUGGAACUCCGAGUGUAGAGGUGAAAUUCGUAGAUAUUCGGAAGAACACCAGUGGCGAAGGCGGCUCACUGGUCCGGUACUGACGCUGAGGUGCGAAAGCGUGGGGAGCAAACGGG
rnacentral:rRNA from 1 species